rnacentral:rRNA from 1 species
CCUACGGGAGGCAGCAGUGAGGAAUAUUGGUCAAUGGACGAAAGCCUGAACCAGCCAAGUCGCGUGAGGGAAGACGGUCCUAUGGAUUGUAAACCUCUUUUGCCGGGGAGCAAAAGGAGGUACGUGUACCGGAUUGAGAGUAUCCUGAGAAAAAGCAUCGGCUAACUCCGUGCCAGCAGCCGCGCGAAUACGGAGGAUGCAAGCGUUAUCCGGAUUUAUGGGGUUUAAAGGGUGCGCAGGCGGCGGGUUAAGUUAGCGGUAAAAUUUCGGGGCGCAAACCCGACGAGCCGUUGAUACUGGGUGGCUAGAGUGUGCGAGAAGUAUGCGGAAUGCGUGGUGUAGCGGUGAAAUGCUUAGAUAUCACGCAGAACUCCGAUUGCGAAGGCAGCAUACCGGCGCCCAACUGACGCUGAGGCACGAAAGCGUGGGUAUCGAACAGGAUUAGAUACCCUUGUAGUC